ACAAAAGGGCAACGUGAAAAUUAUUAUUUUAGUUUCGAGGGAACGUUUUUCGAUUUUCAAAUAGGAAGUACUUUCGCGUACGAUUUCUAUACGUCUAAGAGCGUUUUAUUCCACCACAAGCGUACACCCGGAAACCCAUCUAAAGACCGGAUGUUGAUUGUAUGUUUCGAGCAGUCUGUAAGUUUCACUGUAUGCAAUAAUAAUACGUACGUUCUCGUUCUUUUAUGUUUUGCAAAUACCAAGCUGG